AUAUCUCUCUGUACGGGAAGGAUGAGAAGCUUCGACUAAGAUUCGAUUCGAGCGCAGCGAGAAAGCGUUGCCGCAGGCAACGACCCGAAGGGCGAAGCGCGCAGCGCUGAGUAAUCCUUCCCCCACCACCA
rnacentral:sRNA from 1 species